rnacentral:rRNA from 1 species
AUUGAACGCUGGCGGCAGGCCUAACACAUGCAAGUCGAGCGGUGGAACGGUACUUGCUUCUGGGUGCUGCGGGGGACGGGUGAGUAAUGCCUGGGAAUAUCCUUGGUUGUGGUGUAUAACAUGCGGAAACAGGCACUAAUACCCCAUAAGUGCUGAGGGGGUAAGUGGGGGAGCUGCGGACCUCUCGCUAUCACAUGAGUGGAGGUCGGAUUAGCUAGUUGGUGGGGUAAAGGCCUACCAAGGCGACGAUCCGUAACUGGUCUGAGAGGAUGAUCAGUCAAACUGGAACUGAGACACGGUCCAGACUCCUCAGGGAGGCAGCAGUGGGGAAUAUUGGACAAUGGGCGAAAGCCUGAUCCAGCCAUACCGCGUGGGUGAAGAAGGUCUUCGGGUUUUAAAGCACUUUAGGUGGGAAGGACGGGCAGUAAGUUAAUACCUUGCUGUUUUGACGGUACCAACAGAAUAAGCACCGGCUAACUUCGUG